UUACCUGGUCUUGACAUCCCGGAGACCCUUAGGAAACUAGGGGUGCUUCCAUCUGGAAGAAUCUGGAGACAGGUGCUGCAUGGCUGUCGUCAGCUCGUGUCGUGAGAUGUUGGGUUAAGUCCCGCAACGAGCGCAACCCUUGCCUUUAGUUGCCAGCAGUUCGGCUGGGCACUCUAAAGGGACUGCCGGUGUUAAACCGGAGGAAGGUGGGGAUGACGUCAAGUCCUCAUGGCCUUUAUGACCAGGGCUACACACGUACUACAAUGGCCGAUACAAAGGGCAGCGACACUGCGAGGUGAAGCCAAUCCCGUAAAAUCGGUCUCAGUCCGGAUUGGAGUCUGCAACUCGACUCCAUGAAGUUGGAAUCGCUAGUAAUCGUGGACUCAGCAAUAGCCACGGUGAAUACGUUCCGGGCCUU
rnacentral:rRNA from 1 species